UGGGGAAUAUUGGACAAUGGGCGCAAGCCUGAUCCAGCAAUGCCGCGUGAGUGAUGAAGGCCUUAGGGUUGUAAAGCUCUUUCGCACGCGACGAUGAUGACGGUAGCGUGAGAAGAAGCCCCGGCUAACUUCGUGCCAGCAGCCGCGGUAAUACGAAGGGGGCUAGCGUUGUUCGGAAUUACUGGGCGUAAAGGGCGCGUAGGCGGCCUGUUUAGUCAGAAGUGAAAGCCCCGGGCUCAACCUGGGAAUAGCUUUUGAUACUGGCAGGCUUGAGUUCCGGAGAGGAUGGUGGAAUUCCCAGUGUAGAGGUGAAAUUCGUAGAUAUUGGGAAGAACACCGGUGGCGAAGGCGGCCAUCUGGACGGACACUGACGCUGAGGCGCAGAAAG
rnacentral:rRNA from 1 species